UGGGGAAUAUUGCACAAUGGGCGCAAGCCUGAUGCAGCCAUGCCGCGUGUGUGAAGAAGGCCUUCGGGUUGUAAAGCACUUUCAGCGAGGAGGAAGGUGGUGGACUUAAUACGUUCAUCAAUUGACGUUACUCGCAGAAGAAGCACCGGCUAACUCCGUGCCAGCAGCCGCGGUAAUACGGAGGGUGCAAGCGUUAAUCGGAAUUACUGGGCGUAAAGCGCACGCAGGCGGUUUGUUAAGUCAGAUGUGAAAUCCCCGGGCUCAACCUGGGAACUGCAUUUGAAACUGGCAAGCUAGAGUCUCGUAGAGGGGGGUAGAAUUCCAGGUGUAGCGGUGAAAUGCGUAGAGAUCUGGAGGAAUACCGGUGGCGAAGGCGGCCCCCUGGACGAAGACUGACGCUCAGGUGCGAAAAGCGUGGGGAGCAAAACAGGAUUAGAUACCCUGGUAGUCCACGCUGUAAAACGAUGUCGAUUUUGGAGGUUGUGCCCUUGAGGCGUGGCUUCCGGAGCUAACGCGUUAAAUCGACCGCCUGGGGAGUACGGCCGC
rnacentral:rRNA from 1 species